UGGCAUCCAUCCUAUUGUCAGUGCUGUCAGGGAAAAAGAUGAACUGGUGUAUUACAACCUAAGACAAAGUGUUGAGAUGUUUGGCAGUCCUAUACAUUCACAGAGAAAAUGUUCUGCUGGAAAUAUGGGGCAACAUUCAGCCUGUACACACAUAGACUAGGGAUUCCACCAAAAACUGAAAGAGAAAAGAAGCUGAUGUACUCAAACAAUCCCUGGCAAGAGAAAUUAAUUUGUGAAAUGAAAGAAUGCACAGACAUAACAUUUUAAUAUUUGUUUGUACAAAAAUUGACAUUGAAAGGAAUUUACUGUAUGUGUACUUAAAAUAGCGAGCUUCAUAUUUUAGUUGUUUUUGAGCAGACGAGGAUGUGCUAAUUCAUAAAUACCACUAAAAAUUCAUUUAUAAAUAGAAUAUACGACACAAAUAUUUGUAGCAUUAAUUCAAGAUUAUGCCAACAACCAUAUCCAUUGAUUGCGCUAAAUUUUGAAAACACCAAGUUAUGUACAUGUACAGUAUUUUUCCAAAGCUUGAACUUUUUUCUGUUAACGAUUUUGCUUAUUUUAUUCAUGGCUGUAAAUAAAUAAAACAAAAAAGAUUGUAUUAAAUAUUUAUACAUAUUUA